AACGAACGCUGGCGGCAUGCCUAACACAUGCAAGUCGAACGAGACCUUCGGGUCUAGUGGCGCACGGGUGCGUAACGCGUGGGAACCUACCCUUAGGUUCGGAAUAACUCCCCGAAAGGGGUGCUAAUACCGGAUAAUGUCUUCGGACCAAAGAUUUAUCGCCUUUGGAUGGGCCCGCGUUGGAUUAGCUAGUUGGUAGGGUAAAAGCCUACCAAGGCGACGAUCCAUAGCUGGUCUGAGAGGAUGAUCAGCCACACUGGGACUGAGACACGGCCCAGACUCCUACGGGAGGCAGCAGUGGGGAAUAUUGGACAAUGGGCGAAAGCCUGAUCCAGCAAUGCCGCGUGAGUGAUGAAGGCCUUAGGGUGGUAAAGCUCUUUUACCCGGGAUGAUAAUGACAGUACCGGGAGAAUAAGCUCCGGCGAACUCCGU
rnacentral:rRNA from 1 species